rnacentral:lncRNA from 1 species
GAGAGAGAGAGAGAGAGAGAGAGACAGAGAUAGAGACAGAGACAGAGAGAGACAGAGAGAGAGAGCAACCACCUGGGAGUGUGGGCCUGGUAUGGGCUUUUGAAACCAUCUCCAGUCACACACCUCCUCCAGCAAGGCCACACUUCCUAUUCCCUCCCAAACAGUUUUACCAGCUUUCCAAUAUGAGUCUAUGGGGGACAUUCUCAUUCAAACCACCACAUGUGACCUGGGUCCUGGGAACUGAGCUAGUGCAGUCAUCUGGAGGAUCAGCAAGCGCUCCUCACCUCUUGCUCUUUUCUCAUGGGCACCUUCAUCGUGUGCUUGUAAGGUCUGUUGUAAGUGCUUCCGUGCUUCUCCAGCAUAUCCUCUGUACACACCUGUGAGCACCCACUCUCUUCCUUGGCGGUGGUGAGAGCCGAGUUGUUUUUUCCCCUGUACCCUUUAUGCUUGUCUGGGCACGUGAGGUCCUGAAUUGGAAUCCCACAGCUAC